ACGGGGAGGAGGAGGGGCUGCGGCGGGGCAGCGGCGACUCGCGGCGGCGGCGGCGCUGGAAGUUCCCGAGUUCCAGCGUCGCAAGAAUGGGAAGCGAGCGAAGCCAAAAUGCCCCCGGGGAGCGCGGCCCCGCUGGGGAGGCCCGGCACUUCCACUCCGCCCGCUCGCCGCGGCUCCCCCGUAGCCCAGCCCGCUCCCUCGGAGCCAGCCAGGGACCUCGGGGCGCUGCCAGGGGCUUUGGCAUCUGCGCAUGAGACGUGCGGGACUGACGAAUCUCGUGCCUUCCAGCAGCGAUGGGCAAGAGGAGGAGUGUUGCGAACGCGGGGACGAGCGAUGGAUGGUGAUGCCUGCAGCCUAUGGCCGAACUGGAGGUAAUUCGCUAGCGGAUCGAUAACCUACCGAAGGUUCGUGAAAGGCUGCCACACUGUUCGGAGCCCGGUUAGCAGUUCAAUCGUUCCUUUAUUUAAUGUUUGCUAGCUUGAGGAGACUGAAUAAAACGCUCUGGUUUGUGCUGUGAUUGUUUCUUUGCUGCUUACAGUCAAAAAGAAAAUAAAAACAAAGCAGGUGUCCGCUGAUAAUUGGCUGUUUUU